rnacentral:rRNA from 1 species
CCUACGGGAGGCAGCAGUGAGGGAUCUUCGGCAAUGGGGGAAACCCUGACCGAGCAACGCCGCGUGCGGGAUGACGGCCUUCGGGUUGUAAACCGCUUUUCUGUGGGACGAGUUUGGACGGUACCACAGGAAGAAGUCUCGGCUAACUACGUGCCAGCAGCCGCGGUAAU